rnacentral:snRNA from 14 species
GAAUGUGAGGGUGGUCUGACUAAGACAUCUGUUACACUGUUGAUCCCUGCCAAGAUUGAUCUGCUGAUCUGGAUCAUUAGGCAGGUGUACCCUUCCCUUCUCACCUCUGCAGGUGUGUUUGUUUCUCCUGACAUUGCUCCAUCAAAAAGGACAACCUUUUCUGGACAGAGGAGGACCUGUCUUCAUUCAAGGGUAUAGGAGUAGAGCCUUCAAACAAUCUCCCAUAAAGAUACAUAUUUUAAAGGGUAUCAAAUUAACAACUAU